rnacentral:rRNA from 1 species
UACGGGGGGGGCAAGCGUUGUUCGGAAUUACUGGGCGUAAAGGGCUCGUAGGUGGCCAACUAAGUCAGACGUGAAAUCCCUCGGCUUAACCGGGGAACUGCGUCUGAUACUGGAUGGCUUGAGUUUGGGAGAGGGAUGCGGAAUUCCAGGUGUAGCGGUGAAAUGCGUAGAUAUCUGGAGGAACACCGGUGGCGAAGGCGGCAUCCUGGACCAACACUGACACUGAGGAGCGAGAGCCAGGGGAGCAAACGGG